UUAGGUAGUUGGGGAUAUUAACUCUUAUUUGCACUUUAAUGAUUGGGACUUAGAUAAGGUCGCCUGUAUUCUGCAAGAAGUCAUAGCUCUUGUGCCCUACUGGAAGAGAACGAUGGAUGUAGAUAAGAAAGUUAUACAACAAUCAAAUGGUCCUGUGAUGAAGAGUUUAUUGAAGAUAUUGUAAAUUUUUCCUGAGAGUGUUGAUUAAAGACAAAAAGGAGCUGUAACCCUUGUAAAACAUCAGGGUUCUUGUGGUAGUUGUUAGACAUUCUCAACUGUUAUAAUUGUGGGGAGAAUAAAUAAGAACAAAACUGUAAAAGACGCAAUCAGGGGUGCAAAGGAGGUUAUGACUAAAAAUGAUAUUAACUUGAGAGAAAAGUACCCAUAUAAAGCAGAGCAGGGCCCUAGUCAAGCCAACCAAGUUUGCAUGCAUGUGUGCAACUACAGGUGAAGAAGAAACUUAAUACCGCAAGCCGAUCUACUGCAUCCGAGAUUCGGGGAAGGGUAAGAUUGGUUUUAUCCCUUAAUCCUCCCUUAGAGUGCAUGUCUUUAGAUUUGAUUUCUCAUACUGCUUUAUAGAUUUGUUUAGUUUUAUGGAUUUACAUUUGUUAAUGCAUCUAAGUAUAAAUUAA